rnacentral:lncRNA from 1 species
UUGAACAACCAACCUAAAUGACAUCUAGAAUAUUGAUCUUAUAGCAAAUAUUUGAAAUAUUAAAAAGGGAGUGCUUCAAUUUGUAAUGUGAUUAUGGUGGUAUAAUUAAUUUCUUCUUACACAUAUAUUUUGAAAUACUUGUCGAUGAAAUAACAUCUUAGAGUCAAAGUAAUCUGGAAGUGGGGACAAAUAGAUUAGCAUAUACAUAAAAUUAGACUCACCAGGAUUAUUGCAGCUGGUGAUGAGUACAUGGAAGUUCCUUAUAAUAUUCACCCUACUUUUUUCAUACAUAAAAUAUUUCUGAGGAGAAAAAUUUAAAAGAUACUUUAUUGCGAGUUACUGUUGUGGCUGAGCAGGUAAGAACUCGACAUAGCGUCCAUGAGCAUGCAGGUUUGAUCCCUGGCCUUAUUCAGUGGGUUACGGGUCCAGUGUUGCAGCAGCUUGCCAGAUGUGGCUUGGAUCUGGUAUUGAUGUGGCUGUGGUAUAGGCUGGCAGCCAUAGCUAUGAUUGGACCCCUAACCCAGGAACUUUCAUAUACUGCAGGUGCGGCCGUAAAAAUUUUUAAAAAGUAAAACAAAAAUACUAGUUUUGCUACUUCAUUGAAAAGGAAUCUCUUCAUAUAUUCAAUCAUUGAAUUGCUGACUUUAAAAUUAGAUGUAGUAGAAUAUGUAGGCCUUAGUAAGAUGAUGACUUGUUCAAUAAGACAGUUAUUAUUAACAGACCCAAUAGUGACAAUAUCAAAAGCCAAAUAACUAAUGAAUCACAAAAACCAAACUCAGAACUAGCCAAAACAUCUAGAGGGCAGAUCAAAAAUUUGAGAAAUUAAAACAAUUAGACAAGAAAAAUAAUUAAAAGCAUACAAAUUGGAAAGGAAGAAAUAAAAUCAUCUCUGUUCAUGGAGAUGUACAUAUAAGAUUUAAUCCCUAAAGAUUUAACUAUAACUGUUAAAACUAAUAAGUUCAGCAAACUUGCAGGAUACCAAAUCGAUACACAAAAGUCAAUUGUUUCUAUACACUAACAAAGAAUAAUCCAAAAAGUAUAUAAGAAGCAGUUCCAUUUACAGUAGCAUCAAAAAUGUGGUGGAAUACUUGCAUACUGAAUGCAAUAAAACACUGCUCAAAGAAAUUAAGAUGACACAAAACAAAUGGAAAGGUAUCACAUAUUUAUGGAUAGGAAGACUUCACAUUAUUAACAUGUCCAUACUAUCCAAGGCCAUCUAUAGGUCUAAUGCAGUAACAAUCAAAAUCUCAGUGGUGCAUUUUUCUAUUUAUGCAAAAAUUAUCCUAAAAUACAUAUGGCAUCUCAAGGGACCCUGAAUAGCCAAAACAAUUUUUGAAAAGAAGAAAAUUUGAAGAUGCACACUUCCUAAUUUCAAAACAUAGUACAAAGUUACAGUAAUCUGAACAGUAUAAUAUUGGUAUAAAGAUAAAUCCAUAUACCAAUGGAAUAGAAUAGAGAGCCCAGAAAUAAGCCUUUGCAUAUAUGGGCAAAUAAUCUAUAAUAAGGGUGCUAAGACCACUCAAUGGUGAAAGUAUUGUCUCUUCAACUAAUGGAGUGUUUCCAAAUAUGAAUAUUUACAUGCAGAAGUAUAAAGAUAGACCCUUAUCUUACAUACAAAUACUAACUCAGAAUAAAGAUCUAAAUGUAAGAUUUAGAAUUCCAAAAUUCCUAGAAGAAAACAUAGAGGAAUAGCUUCAUGAUAUUGCACUUGGAAGUGACAACAAAAGCAAAGGCAAUAAAAGCAAAUAAUUUUGAAUGGGACCAUAUCAAAUUUGGAAACUGCCUUGUUUGUUGUUACCUGUAGACUCAGGCUCCACCUUCUGAGGAUGCUCCCUUGUUUUUUCUUUUUUUUUUUUUUAUGGCCACACCUGAGGCAUAUGGAAGUUCCCAGGCGAGGGGUUGAAUCAGAGCUGCAGCUGCCAGCCUACACCACAGCCACAGCAACACCAGAUCCGAGAGGCAUUUGUCGCCUAUGCUGCAGCUUAUGGCAAUGCCGCAUCUUUAACCCUCGAGGCCAGGGGUUGAACCUGCAUCCCCAUGGAUACUAGUUGGGUUCUUAACCCAAUGAGCCACGACGGGAACUCAAGGAACACAUUUUUUA